CACAAUUGCUAGACUGCUGAGAGGACAAGGGAGAUGUCAAUUAUGAUGAAGAAGGAAGGGCUUCUAAAACCUCACUUUCUAAGCUGUGCAGAGUUUGCUGCAGCACAGAAGGUUACUGAGUGACUCAAACCAAGCCUGGAAGCAAGAUACUCUUGCAAAGAUAUAUGAGGCAAUGGGGGUUAUUUCAUCAUUUAUGUGAAACUGGCCAGCUCCAAAGGAGGACUAGAGAUUUCAGUGCAAUCCACAAUUAAACUGGCUUAAAUGGAGUGAAAGAUGCUUCUGCCUUCAGUAAAUUUGAUAAAUUUUCUGAAAGAGAAAAACUCUUCCCUUCAGCAUUCAGUCUAUUCUGGAUUUCAAAUUACCUGA
rnacentral:lncRNA from 1 species